AACACCCAGCUUCAGCCACGAUGUCAAGGGUCCAGCGCUGAGGGAGCCACUUAGAGCGUUCGGUUUUUAUCUCGGGACAGCUGGAGCCCUGCGGGACAGCUGGAGCCCUGCGCCACAGCACCACCUUUUCUGCUCUGGCCUCCACCCAGCACCCAGCUCCUGCAGUGUUCCUUGGCCAAGAGGGACUGUGCCAGCCCAGGAGAAGCAGCAGACCGGCCCCUCAAGCUUCGAGCAGGAAAGGAGAGCCUCCAGAGGAUGUGGCUAAGAAGGUGCUGACGCUGUCAAGCUCUACAGAUGUCUGUGACCCCUGCUCCCUUGGACACCCCCAGUGGAAAGAAUGGGAAGAAUAGGUGCAGGAACACUACCAUUUCACCCGGAGACAAAUGAGAACACAUUUGAAUACUUCUGUGACAUUGCUAUGACAGGGACAGUCCUUCACGGAACCACGAACAGCUAUUGGAAUGAGUAAGCAGAGAUGGACAUGCUCCACCAUCUAGCUCUUCCGUCACACUGGAGUUCUACCAGUCCCGAAUCUGUCUGUUCCCGAGAAAGAGCGCAGUCAGGCCGCACACUGCACUUAGCGGUCUCUUUAAUUUCCUCCAUGUUGCCCCGAACACUUCUUCCGACUUUCCCUUAAUUGGGCACUUCUGAAAAUCUCAGUCCAUGAAUUUUAUAGAAGUUUGGCUUCCCCCACACCCAUGUAGACCCCAGCUUGCUCAGGACAUCACACUGUGACAGUGGCAUGUUCUGGGCAUUGGGCUUCACUGGGUGGUACAAAGUUCAACUUACCCUCUUACUGGUGACAUUUACUUUGAUAAUUUAACAUGGCAUUUGCUGCUCUCCCCACCAGACAUUUUUAUAUUUUUUCUAUGUGAGAAAAUACUUUGAGAAUAUAUGAACACCCCGGUUUGCAUCAAACAUUACAAAUAUAAUUCAUUCAUUCAUAUCAGCAGGCACACUGAUUCUAGUCCUUAAGUAGAGUAUAAUUUGUUAUUAUCAUAAUUUUCAUCAAAUUGUCCCAGAACAAGGCCAGUGAGAGACCCUUGAAGUAGGCUAUGUGUCCCUCUGUCCUGCCUGUCCUUGUCUGUCUCUCUGGUACAAGAUAAAUCAGGCCAUGGCCCAGUCCUAGUCCUGGCUUAAUGCCGAAGGUGCCUUGACUCCUGUUGAUGGGGGACUGGUCUUUACAAACAAGAUGAGGCUCACUUUGAGAAUGGCUUCUCAAAUCACUGAAGUGUGCUCAGCCCCUGAUGUGAAGGCCAGAGCUCCCCUGGGCUUCCUGAGUGGGUCCCGCCUGCAACCAAUGAGGAGGAUGACUGCAAAGAGGACCACAGGUACCACGGAGCAGUGUCUGUGACAGUCUGCAUUGCAGGCAGAGUUGGGGCCUCACAGGCUGUGGUUGUUUGAAUGUCAUUGGCCCUCAUAAGCUCAUAAGGAGUGGCACUAUUAGGAGGUGUGGCCUUGUUGGAGGAAGUGUGUCUC